ensembl:lncRNA
AUGAUUUAUAAAUUUAUGUAUAAUUUAAAUAAAAUAAAAAAUGUAGAAAACGAUUUAUUCCUUAUUGAUAAUAUGUCUUAUUUGUUGAAAUAUAUUUGUGAUAGUAUAACACAUUUUUGUUAUAAAAAUAGAUUGGAUGAAAACAAAAGUAGUGACCGAAAAACAAAAAAUGAAUAUAAUUUGAAUAAAAAUUAUUUAUUCGAUUUGGAGAAAAAAAACGACGAGAAAUUUGAAAAGAUAUAUAUAAAAGGAAAACCAUAUAUACGAUUAUACAAAAAUAAAAUGAGCGAAAUUGUUUUAGAUACAUAUAAAAAAUCGCUUGAUUUUAAUUGGGAAUAUGAAACAGAGAAUCGAUCUGAUAUAGACAGUACAGAUGAAGAAAUAGGUAGUAAUAAUAAUAAUAAUAAUACUAUAACUGAUUGUUAUAAAUAUGAAAAGUUUAAAAAUAAAAAUUGUUUUAAUGGUAGUAUAACGGUAUGUUCUAAAGAAGAAGAUAUGAGUGAAGAGAUCAUGAAUAUAAUGCUUAUCAAAACAAAACAUUCGAAGAGUGAUUUGAUGAAUAUAUAUAUUAUGUAUUUAUUAUAUAUAAGUCAAUUUAAUUUAUUAAAUAUUUUAAAUUAUAAUAUGAAUGUACGAAAGUUUAUAUUAUCAUCUGUUUUUAAUUUACUCAAAGAAAUGAAUAGUAAAGUAAAAAGUUAUAAUAUAAAUAUAUUAACCAAGAAUAAUAUAAAUAAUUUUAAUAAUAUAAUUAUUAACAAAUUAAUAUGUUUGUUUAUUAAUAUAAAUGAUAUGCCCAAUUUUUUAAAUUAUCUUUAUUAUUACAUAGGUCUUAAUUCUAAUAAAUCAAAUUGCUAUUACAAACUAAUAAAUUUUUUAUUAAAUUCCAUUUUUAUAAAUGUAUUUAAACAACAUAUGGAUAAAUUAAUUGAUAAUUCAGAAGUGUUUCUAACUGUUUUUAAUAAAAUAUAUGACCAAGUCGUAAAUAAAAUGUUGACUUUGUUAGGUCAACAUAUCAAUUCAAAAAAAAGAAAUGAAAAAAGUAACAUGUCAUUAGUUUAUGAAAAUGCGAAUUCCACUAACAAUAAUAACCAUAAUAACUAUAACAAUAAUAACCAUAAUAACUAUAACAAUAAUAACAAUAAUAACAACCAAAGAGGGAUACAACAAAAAAAAGUAAAAAAUAAUUUUAAAUAUGUUGAUCAUCAUACACAACAAUUUCAACAACUAUUUAUAAAUAUAGAAACAUUAGAAUAUAUAAUUUCUUGUUAUUUUAAUGCUAUUAAUAAAAAUAAUAUUAAUCACCAUUUUAUUAUACAUACUAUAAAAUUAUUAAAAUUAUAUAUUGAAAAAAAAAACAUAUUAUUAAAAUAUUAUAACAUGGUUCAUCAAGGUAUCUUUAAUAUAAAUUUUUAUAAUGUAUAUCAUAGUCUAUAUAUAUAUAUAUUUUUUAUUUAUAAUGCUUCUAGAUUGUUUCUUUUCGCUUUAACAAAUAAACAAACAAAUAAACAACAGUUGAAAAAAAAAAUAAAAAUAAUUAUUAUUUUAUUGCAAAAUUGUUUACACAGUAUAGAAGUUAUAUAUGACCAGUCUGUCAAUGAAAAUCAGGUUUAUAUAUUCGUUGAUAUAGUCCACUUAUUGUUGAAGACUCUGACGAUGUAUAUGUAUUUGUCCGAGUUUGGGUUGAUAGAUGAAACUAUCAUGUUUGGUUACAUCAACCAAUUUGUAAAUGUCAUAAAAAAAAACUCCAUACAAAAUUACGACCACCAUAUAAAAAAUACAAUUAAUAAAUAUAUUUUAAAUUUUUUUGUUUAUAAUUAUAAAUAUUUAAUGCGGACAUAUGCAAAUAAUGAAGAUUUAAAAAAUAUUUAUAUAAAUAUUAUUUCAUUGUUAUUUAUUGAUAUAAUGAAAAAUGAAAAUUGUGAUUUAAUAAUAAACCUAUUUGAUCUUAUAAAAUUUGAAACAGAUUUGUAUAAUUUAUUUUGUAAAGUUUUUUUAGCAAGUUACAUUUUUAUUAUUAAACAUAUGAACAUAAACAAGGAUUGUAAACAAUUGUUAAAUCAAAUAAAAAACAAAAUGUCAGUUAUUGAAAAUGUAGGUUAUGAAGAAAUUACAAAAAAAAUAAUUAAAAAAAAUAAAAUUUUUAUAAAUAAUGAAAAUAUGUACGAACAGUUUAAUUUGAGUAAAAAACUUACCAUCAUAAAAAGUAAUUUUGAAAAAUUUUAUAUUACUAUAAAAUUUAAUAAAUAUAAAAUGGAUUCGUUUUUUAUUGACAAUAGAAUGGAAGAUGUGGAUUUUGAGUAUGGGUAUGUUAAAAGUGGUAGUGAUAGUGAUAGUGNNNNNNNNNNUAGUGGUAGUGGUAGUGGUAGUGGUAGUGGCAGUAGUAGUAGUAGUAGUGAUAAAAGCAAAAGUCAAACCGAUAAAGAAAAAGAAAUGAUGGUAAAUACCCAGUACCAUUUGAACAUAUGUAUUCUAAGUAAGAUAUUUUUAUCGUUACAUAGUAUUAAAAAUAUAGGAGAACAAUUAUUAUCAAUUUUAAUGACUAUAUUUAAUAAUAUAAAAAAUUAUGAAAAAUAUAAUAAAUAUAUAUUAAUACAUAUUUUAUUAUGUUUUAUUAAUAAUUUAAAUACAAUGGAUGAAAAAAUGAUAAAUAAAAUAACACUUUCUUAUUUUAUAAAAUAUUCCUUUUUAAUAUUAAAAAUACAAAAAAAAUAUAUAAAAAAAAAUAUAACUAACACUACUAAUAAUAACAACACUAAUUUGUUUAUACUUAAAUUGUUCUUUCGAGUUAUUAACAAUUUUAUAUAUAUUAUAAAAAAUAAACCAGUAGAAGAAACUAUGUUGGAAAAGGAAUUGCACGAGAUGGACAACAAUAUUUCUUAUAAUAACAAUCUUAAAAAAAAAAAGAACAUAAGACAGAAUCACAUAAAAGAAAUGACAUCAAAUGAAAAUAGUAACCUAAUUAAUGGAAAUAAUAAAUUAAAAAACAAGAAAGAUAAAGACAAUACAAAUAUUAUAAAAAAAAAAAAAUAA